CGUGACCAUGGAUCAGCUCAUUCAUGAAGUGGAGGAUGACGACGAAGCGGAAAAGGAGAUUAGCCAUGACAACUUGAAAAGAUGAAGAGAGUGAAGAGGAUGACUGGAGGAAGUUGCGGGUGAUGUCUGGUCAUCCAUUGAUUUGGAAAAUGGAUGAACACUUUUUUUAGUCUCUCUCCGAUUGAGAUUUUGGAACGUCUAACAUGAACUUUGAGGUUUGUUCUUCUUGCAGGUACGGAGCUUUCAAGAUCCUCAAGGCAUGGGAUAAGGACAUCAUGGUAUAGGAGCAAUGCGAACAUGAACUGUAUGCUCAAACUCCAGAUGCCAAAGCGAUGAGGAGAGCGGAGACGGGAACUGGACUGCAGGUUCCCAUGUAAUGUCAUCUGAUGAAGCCAAGUGCUUGGAGGUCGGAAUGGAUGCUUAUCUGACAAAAUCAGUUGACCUCAAGCUCAUGGUCUCCAUCAUUCUUUCCCUCGCCAAACCAUCAACAUCUUAACUUGCUUUCCACUUGAGCUUAACAAGAGAGCUUCUUAGCUUCAAGAACCUGGAACUGUGUAUAUAUUAUAUAUAGUUAAUCAUAGUGAUUUGAUAGUGUUAGAAGACUCUUAAACAAGGAGAGGUUCUUGUUUAUAUCCCUUUUUUGUUUUGUGAUCGUGCAAUUAAAUAUGAUGUUUACAAAUGCAUAAUAAAUCGAUUCAAGUUUCAUGGUUC